rnacentral:siRNA from 1 species
GGUGGACUUCCAUUGAUGAUUCU